UGGCCCGUUGGUCAAGUGGUUAAGACACCGCCCUUUCACGGCGGUAACACGGGUUCGAAUCCCGUACGGGUC
rnacentral:tRNA from 1 species